rnacentral:rRNA from 1 species
GCUCAGGACGAACGCUGGCGGCGUGCCUAAUACAUGCAAGUCGUACGCUUCUUUUUCCACCGGAGCUUGCUCCACCGGAAAAAGAAGAGUGGCGAACGGGUGAGUAACACGUGGGUAACCUGCCCAUCAGAAGGGGAUAACACUUGGAAACAGGUGCUAAUACCGUAUAACAAUCGAAACCGCAUGGUUUUGAUUUGAAAGGCGCUUUCGGGUGUCGCUGAUGGAUGGACCCGCGGUGCAUUAGCUAGUUGGUGAGGUAACGGCUCACCAAGGCCACGAUGCAUAGCCGACCUGAGAGGGUGAUCGGCCACAUUGGGACUGAGACACGGCCCAAACUCCUACGGGAGGCAGCAGUAGGGAAUCUUCGGCAAUGGACGAAAGUCUGACCGAGCAACGCCGCGUGAGUGAAGAAGGUUUUCGGAUCGUAAAACUCUGUUGUUAGAGAAGAACAAGGAUGAGAGUAACUGUUCAUCCCUUGACGGUAUCUAACCAGAAAGCCACGGCUAACUACGUGCCAGCAGCCGCGGUAAUACGUAGGUGGCAAGCGUUGUCCGGAUUUAUUGGGCGUAAAGCGAGCGCAGGCGGUUUCUUAAGUCUGAUGUGAAAGCCCCCGGCUCAACCGGGGAGGGUCAUUGGAAACUGGGAGACUUGAGUGCAGAAGAGGAGAGUGGAAUUCCAUGUGUAGCGGUGAAAUGCGUAGAUAUAUGGAGGAACACCAGUGGCGAAGGCGGCUCUCUGGUCUGUAACUGACGCUGAGGCUCGAAAGCGUGGGGAGCAAACAGGAUUAGAUACCCUGGUAGUCCACGCCGUAAACGAUGAGUGCUAAGUGUUGGAGGGUUUCCGCCCUUCAGUGCUGCAGCUAACGCAUUAAGCACUCCGCCUGGGGAGUACGACCGCAAGGUUGAAACUCAAAGGAAUUGACGGGGGCCCGCACAAGCGGUGGAGCAUGUGGUUUAAUUCGAAGCAACGCGAAGAACCUUACCAGGUCUUGACAUCCUUUGACCACUCUAGAGAUAGAGCUUCCCCUUCGGGGGCAAAGUGACAGGUGGUGCAUGGUUGUCGUCAGCUCGUGUCGUGAGAUGUUGGGUUAAGUCCCGCAACGAGCGCAACCCUUAUUGUUAGUUGCCAUCAUUUAGUUGGGCACUCUAGCAAGACUGCCGGUGACAAACCGGAGGAAGGUGGGGAUGACGUCAAAUCAUCAUGCCCCUUAUGACCUGGGCUACACACGUGCUACAAUGGGAAGUACAACGAGUCGCGAAGUCGCGAGGCUAAGCUAAUCUCUUAAAGCUUCUCUCAGUUCGGAUUGUAGGCUGCAACUCGCCUACAUGAAGCCGGAAUCGCUAGUAAUCGCGGAUCAGCACGCCGCGGUGAAUACGUUCCCGGGCCUUGUACACACCGCCCGUCACACCACGAGAGUUUGUAACACCCGAAGUCGGUGAGGUAACCUUUUGGAGCCAGCCGC